rnacentral:rRNA from 1 species
AACGUAGGACGCGAGCGUUAUCCGGAAUUAUUGGGCGUAAAGGGCGUGUAGGCGGCUUCGCAGGUCUGUGGUGAAAGGAUACAGCUCAACUGUAUUGAGCCGCGGAAACGGCGGAGCUUGAGGCUGGGAGGGGCUGGUGGAAUUCCCUGUGUAGCGGUGAAAUGCGUAGAGAUGGGGGAGAACACUCGUGGCGAAGGCGGCCAGCUAGACCAGUUCUGACGCUGAGACGCGAAAGCGUGGGGAGCAAACAGG